rnacentral:lncRNA from 1 species
AAUUUGAAUAUUAAUCUCAGUGUGUAUUUUUUAAAUCUCAGUGUGUAAUUAACAAUUCUCAGUGUGUGUUUUUCAAUUUAUUUCAUCUCAGUGUGUCUUUUAAAAAUCUCAGUGCGUAAUUUUGAAUUCUCAGUGUGUGUUUUUUAUUUUUUUAAAUCUCAGUGUGUAAUUUAGAUUUCUCAGUGUGUUAUUUUAGGUUUUUAA